GCUCCGGUGGCUCAGUGGUUAGAGCGUCCACAUCGGAUGCGGGAGGUCGUGGGUUCGAUCCCCGGUCGAGUCA